AUCGCUUCUCGGCCUUUUGGCUAAGAUCAAGUGUAGAAAGCAAUCAUAGCUUUUGUCAAGUGCUGAAUGUUAAUAUGACACCUUGUUCCAGUCUCACCUUCCUUCCACUGGGCUUUGGUAGGUGGGAGAAGCCACA
rnacentral:snRNA from 1 species